UAACCCGAGCCCUGAAUUGGCCAAUAAUCAGCUUAUGGGUGGCGCAACAGUUGUGGAGAGGGGGAUAAGUGUUUUAUUGUCCACAUUUUCACCUCUUAUUUAAAUUAUUUUAUUCGUGA